CAGUCGCCGCGGUAAAACGAAGGGGGCUAGCGUUGCUCGGAAUCACUGGGCGUAAAGGGUGCGUAGGCGGGUUUCUAAGUCAGGGGUGAAAUCCUGGAGCUCAACUCCAGAACUGCCCUUGAUACUGGAAGUCUUGAGUAUGGGAGAGGUGAGUGGAACUGCGAGUGUAGAGGUGAAAUUCGUAGAUAUUCGCAAGAACACCAGUGGCGAAGGCGGCUCACUGGCCCAUAACUGACGCUGAGGCACGAAAGCGUGGGGAGCAAACAGGAUUAGAUACCCCCGUAGUCCCUGUCUCUUAUAC
rnacentral:rRNA from 1 species